CAAAAACUGUUAACUGAACUGAUUUGUGCAGUAUCUCACAGUUCAGCUUCCAGAAUCCACUGCCAAAUACUGGCACAUUGAAAGUAACACCACAUUGCAAACUAUCAUGGUCCAAAAACCAAACUGGAGAUGCUGCACAAGAAUCCACACAGAACAUCCAAAAGAUUGCAGUGUGCUAAAUAAUUGUCAUAGGAAAACAUCGGUUAUGUAUAGAACAUAUUAGGAGGCUGUGUGGUCCAGUGGUUAAAGAAAAGGGCUUGUAACCAAGAUAUCCCCGGUUCAAAUCCCACCUCAGCUACUGACUCACUGUGUGACCCUGAGCAAGUCACUUCACCUCCUUGUGCUCCGUCUUUCAGGUGUUGAAGAUCAGUACUAUCUGACUGUCCUAUUCAUGGGAACCAGCUCGGCCUCAGUGAUGUUUGGGAUGUUAACUGACAAUGCAGUACACUGUAUCAAAGCAUACAGAGCAGCACUGAAAUGUGUCAUGCCCAACAGUGUACAGUGACAUGUCUGUCACAAUCAAUUCGAUUGGCGAGACAUGGGAGCAUUUUCACUUUAGCGAUGUGGCAUCUUUAGUUACUUGGAUGAAGUCUUCAGAAAGCGAAGAUGGGUUGCUUUUCUGAAGUCCAAAGAUGUGCACACCACAAAAGUCUGUCCCCCUGAAGCAGUACCUACAAGAUGAAAUAGCUGGUUUCAGGCAGUAAAAUACCACGCAGAGCAUAUUUGAUCACUACCAGGACUUUUUUGAAAGAAAAAUCAGCACAGGCUGUGACAAACCUUCUGAUGUUACUUAAGUCAGGAGAAAUUGACUUUCUGAAAUUUGACAGCUUUCAUGUCUGAAGCUGGUAACAGCCCUGACCAUUUUUUGAGGGUACCCAGCACCCUACAGCUGUCUCAGCUUCCAACAUCAUGGAAGACCUGGGGUCUAUUGCAUUGUGGAACAGCCAAAACCUGUGGGUGUGGUGAAGAAACUAACACUUUUGGAUGACCUUACCAUGAGAAGAGAAAUAUCCUGGACAAUCUGCAUGAGCUUGCUUUUUUACCAAAUUCUCCAAACAGUGGGAUGUCCAUCCUGCAAAUGAAGUGUUUUGACUAAUGUGUGUGUUUUGAUCCCAGGCAGACUCCAGCCAUGCAACAAAACGGUGAUCAGUACAGAAGCCGACACCUCUUGCCCACCCCUCACCAGAGCUGUGUGUGAACAAUGGGUGGUUCUACGCAACACUCUGAAUGAGCCCAUCCCUGAUCCACUGGAUCUUUCAACUUACUGGAAGGUCAUGAAGGGAAGAGUGCCCAAAGUAGCAGAGGUUGCCCUACCUUGAAUCUCCCCUGUUACCUCUGUAGACAGAGAACCUUUAUUAAAUAUAAAACUUUACUUGGAAGAGAGGGAGUCACUUUCUGAGGAAAACAACAUGAAAAAGCUAAACUGAUAUGUACCACAAUGGAGAUGUCUGCCAGAGAUGGUAAAAAUAAUUACCUUUUAAGUUAAUCAAUUUGCAAUGUUGCCACCAAGCAACAAACUGUUCAUUUGAUAGUUUAUAUUUCAUUUGAAAUUAAUAUAAGCAUUCCUUCAGAAUAUAGGAAGCAAGAAAGUACUGAGUAAUUUAGAAUGGUACCAAGAACUGCUGCAAGGAUUAAUUUUCUGUUCAGUAAAUUCAUAUAAAUAUUAAAAUUGACAGAGGCUCUUAAUUCUGUGGACUUGUUACUGUUCAAUUAUGUCAGCUUGGACAUAUUACCGAGUGCUACUUUUAAAGUGACUUAAAGUUUACCAUAUACUGUACCUGCAAUACCUAAUUACAAAAUACUUUAAAUUAUAAAAGAUACAAAGCAGCUAUAUUUGUUAGACACACAGAUCUGGGCCAACCAUCUCGCAAGCUACAGCCGUGCGCGCGCCGCGGCCAGGGUGAAAUACUUCUCUGAAAUCAUAACUAUGGGACACGGUAAACCCAAUGUUCUCUUUUAAGACCAUUGAGUAAAUCCUACAUCCAUCCAGACACCGACAGAUCCAUCUCCCAUUCAUCCUCAACUCUUCCCUGUCAUGUUUUCUCCUCUUUCAGAACAAAAUUGACACAUCUAUAAUACGCUCUCCCACCACAAACCCAGUGUACUACUUGACCACCUUAACGCUGCUCUGGUUGCCCUUCCUAGUUGCUGUUACUAUUUCAUGCAUCAUGCAUUUUCCACUGUAUUUAGUGUGUGUUUUUUUUUUUUUUUUUUACUGUAUAGCAUAUAUUAUGCAUUUCUCUGUAUUAAGUAUUAUGGUUUUACUUGUUACUGCAUCUUGUAAAGUGCUUUGUAAUGGUGGUCCACUAUGAAAGGCGCUACAUAAAAUAGAUUGAUACAACUUGAAUACAGUUUACCAUACGUGUUAAAUUGUCUAAUUCCUGUGUUCAAAAUUUAAAUACCAGAAUUUUGUAAAUUUGAAAUACCAUUUAAAUGUAUUUAAAUCCUCUUUUGCUGUGGGCUGCAUCAUGCUCCUGGAAUGUUUGACCAAAAGACAACGCGAAUUCACAAGUGGUCUUUUAUAGUGACAAUCGGCUAGUUCAAUGAUUGGUUCAAAGAUAACAUUCAUCAAUUUAGAACACGUGGUGCAAUUAAACUCGGGUUUUUGGUUUAGCGCUGUGUGCUGUUCGACAAUCACCAACAAGCCUCAGUUAUACAAUUAGUUAUACAAACAAAAAUCUGAAUGUGGUUUUCAAUCCAAAAUUUAAUAGAAUACCUGUAAUGGAUGAAUGAAUGUUAAUAAAGAAACAUAAUACCCUUGCAAACGUAGCUGAACUUUAAUUACAUUCCAUUAUUAUAGUAUUAUACAGAUAUUAUAGUAUUGCAUAGUCUUUCGAUUGCGUCUCCAUCUUCUGAAGGCGGCUGUGGUCCAGUGGUUAAAGAAAAGGGCUUGUAAGCAGGAGUUCCCCGGUUCAAAUCCCACCUCAGCCGCUGACUCAUUGUGUGACCCUGAGCAAGUCACUUAACCUCCUUGUGCUCCGUCUUUCGGGUGAGACGUAGGUGUAAGUGACUCUGCAGCUGAUGCAUUGUUCACACACCCUAGUCUCCAAGUUGCCUUGGAUAAAGGCGUGCGCUAAAUAAACAAAUAAUAAAAUAAUAAUACCCAACGCUUGCUUUCCUGUUGGCUUUGGAUCCCAGUAU